rnacentral:tRNA from 3 species
GGGGCGUUAGCUCAAUUGGGAGAGCACUGCCUUUGCAAGGCAGGGGUUACCGGUUCGAGCCCGGUACGCUCCA